AACGAACGCUGGCGGCGUGCCUAACACAUGCAAGUCGAACGGAAUUAAAGAGCUUGCUCUUUGAUUUAGUGGCGCACGGGUGAGUAACGCGUAGAUAAUCUGCCUGACGAUCUGGGAUAACACUUCGAAAGGGGUGCUAAUACCGGAUAAGCCCACGGGUUCUUUGGAAUCUGCGGGAAAAGGGGGGGACCUUCGGGCCUUCUGUCGUCAGAUGAGUCUGCGUACCAUUAGCUAGUUGGUAGGGUAAAGGCCUACCAAGGCGACGAUGGUUAGCUGGGUUGGGAGGAUGAUCAGCCACACGGGAAGUGGUACACCGUCCAGACUCCUACGGGAGGCAGCAGUGGGGAAGUUUGCGCAAUGGGCGAAGGCCUGACGCAGCAACGCCGCGUGAGUGAUGAAGGCUUUCGGGUCGUAAGCUCUGUCAAUGGGAAAGAAGUGUAUUUUGGCUAAUAUCCUUAAUACUUGACGGUACCCAUAGAGGAAGCACCGGCUAACUCCGUGCCAGCCGCCGCCGUAACAC
rnacentral:rRNA from 1 species